GCCACCUUAGCUCAGUUGGUAGAGCAGCAGACUGAAAAUCUGCGUGUCUGGGGUUCAAUUCCCCGAGGUGGCA
rnacentral:tRNA from 1 species